AUUUAAUAAUAAUUUGAUUUUCUCCUUUUUAUUUGCUUACAAGUACUGUAUUGUUCCUCCAGGGACAUUUUUCUGUUAUUGAUCUGUCAAAAACUCUGGCUGGUAGAAUCUCUUAAGAAAUCAUUUCAAUGUAGCACACCAAGUCCGUGACGUUGACUCAACUUCAUUACCCUACUUUUAUCUAAUGAAAACGACUCAUCUAUUCUCUACUAGCAGAGCACUGUGACGUCAUCGUUUAAGAGGUAGGCUUAACCCUCUUUCCCUACAAACCUCCUCAGACCAGCCAUCAAAGCAUUGUGACUUUUUUUCAGUUAAAUACAUGUUUGUAUAUAUAACAUAUUAGUUUAGCACAGAGCAUGAUAAAUUUCAUCUGGAGCUGAAAAACAAGGGGAUGCAAUCUUGGGAAGCCUUCUUUAGAAUUCUGCCUACCACAAACUCUAUCUACACCUACAAGAUAUCCACACAUCGUUCUGCCCCUUCUUGCCCAGGACAACCGCGUGGGUGGUUCUCUGAACUUGCCAUGACUCCUGUAACUCUCAUGAAUAUCUGUGAAGCUCUGAUAACUCCCUCUGCUGCAGUUAAGCAGAUGUUUUGGGAGAGCUCACCAGUACAGCGCCCUGAAUCUCAUGUCUGCCCACACUUCCGGUAACUGAAGCUGCCUGCGUAAUGUAAUGAACUCCCAAGAACCCUCUUUGCAUGCUCCUGAUAAAUAAUGAAGAUAUACAAAAUCUAAUUUAAAAAAAGACAACGAAUAAAAAUUUUGAAAGUGCUAAAUAUCUUUAUUUU
rnacentral:lncRNA from 1 species